GGUGGGAAAGAUUUUUUCAUUUUUGCGGUCUCCUCAACCUGAGCCAAAGGAAAGGAGAGAGGCUCAACCUCUCUCUUUUUCUCCUUUAAUUUUAUUUGACCCGAGUCCGCAGAAUAUUCAAGGAUGAGCACCCAAAUGGCUCCUCCUCCAGGUCUCAAGAGGAACAGUUUGACUCAGAAACGAGGUCCAUCGACGUCCAGGAAGUCCUCAUCGUCGGAGAAUGUCGCCGCCCAUGGAACAGUUGCCAAUUCAUCCUCUCCUCCUGCCCAAUCGUCUGUUGGCGGAGAGCGGACAGUGAAGAAAUUGAGGUUGUCUAAGGCUCUCACCAUUCCCGAGGGCACCACUGUAUCUGAGGCAUGUAGGAGGAUGGCAGCUCGACGUGUGGAUGCUGUUUUAUUAACUGAUGCCAAUGCUUUGCUUUCUGGGAUUGUUACUGACAAGGACAUUGCUGCUAGAGUAAUAGCGGAG
rnacentral:misc_RNA from 1 species